rnacentral:rRNA from 1 species
AGAGUUUGAUCCUGGCUCAGGAUGAACGCUGGCGGCGUGCGUGAUCAAUGCGAGUCGGACGGGGGGGCUACGGCUCCUCAGUGGCGUCCGGGUGCGGAACACGUGGGCAAUCUAUCACCGGGUGGGGGCUACCCUCCCGAAAGGGGGGUCAAUCCCGCCUACGCGCGACUGUCGCCGGACAGUCGCGGAAAGCAGCAGUGGGCAGUUCGCUGCUGCGCCCGGUGCGGGGCCCGCGCCCUAUCAGCUAGUUGGGAGGGUCACGGCCUCCCAAGGCCAAGACGGGUAGCCGGGCUGAGAGGCUGACCGGCCAAACGGGGACUGAGAGAUGGUCCCGCGCCCUACGGGGUGUAGCAUGAAGGAAUCUUGCACACUGGGCGAAAGCCUGAUGCAGCAACGCCGCGUGCGGGAUGACGCCUUACGGGGUGUAAACCGCUGUACGGGGGGACGAAGGAAGACGGUACCUCCGCAGGAAGUCUCGGCUAACUCCGUGCCAGCAGCCGCGGUAAGACGGAGGAGACAAGCGUUAUCCGGAUUUACUGGGCGUAAAGGGCCCGUAGGGGGUCCCAUGCGGGCGUCGUGGAAGCCCGUGCUCACCGCGGG